rnacentral:rRNA from 1 species
GACGAACGCUGGCGGCGUGCUUAACACAUGCAAGUCGAACGGAAAGGCUCCAGCUUGCUGGAGUACUCGAGUGGCGAACGGGUGAGUAACACGUGGGUAAUCUGCCCUGCACUCUGGGAUAAGCCUGGGAAACUGGGUCUAAUACUGGAUAUGACCUUUCUCCUUAUGGGGUUUGGUGGAAAGUUUUUCGGUGUAGGAUGAGCCUGCGGCCUAUCAGCUUGUUGGUGGGGUGAUGGCCUACCAAGGCGACGACGGGUAGCCGGCCUGAGAGGGUGAUCGGCCACAUUGGGACUGAGAUACGGCCCAGACUCCUACGGGAGGCAGCAGUGGGGAAUAUUGCACAAUGGGCGGAAGCCUGAUGCAGCGACGCCGCGUGAGGGAUGACGGCCUUCGGGUUGUAAACCUCUUUCAGCAGGGACGAAGCGUAAGUGACGGUACCUGCAGAAGAAGCACCGGCUAACUAUGUG